UUAAACUGUAUUUCGGCACGAACAGGGAAAGGCUCAUGAGACUGUACUCUGUGGGGGUGGAAACCGGUCUGAACCAUCCCUGUAACUGCUGAGCGCCGUCUGGGACCUGCCGCACACUAGCUGAGGGUGAUGGACCCUGCUGCUGUGCACAAAGUCCACACAGAGGACUUCCCGAGGCAAAGUCCCCCCUUUAUGACACAUCUCUCCUGGGUCUGGAGCACCAUGCUUUGUGAGAUAAUAGAGAGCCAUGUCGAUGAAUAAUAGGCGUGUGACAGACAGAUGCUAUGUCCAUCCUAAGAGUCAUAUGUGUUCUUUGGUUCUCCUAGAAGCCACUGUGGUAUCCCAGGGCCUUGCCACAGCCACUGACAGAAAAAUGAUGAAUAAAAAUAAUACGCGUGAACUGCUGUUAUUCCUGCAUUCCAGAAUUCAAACUGCACCAUAUUCAAAGAUGAGAAACCAGGCCCAAAGAGGUUGUGAAUUGUCAAGAUCACUUAGGGGUGGAAGUGAAACUCUCACCCUGGGCUUCACAUUUCCGAUUCACUGUUCAUUCAUCGAGUCCAUGAGAGAAAAGGAAAGGGCAGAAGUAUGAAAUGUCACCAAUAGCGAAAGAGCAUGAUGCAAAUGAGAAACAGAAAAGCUCUCCACAGGAGACUUAGAAGACUACAAAAAUCAUUCCGUUCAGUGUCAUGACAAAACAGUGCCCGAGGAGCUUUACAAUCGAGUGCCAGUCCUAGCCUGGGCAACAUGGAGAAACCCCAUCUCUACAAAAAAUUACCCAGGCAUGGUGGUGCGCACUUAUAGUCCCAGCUACUUAGGAGGCUGAGUCCCUGAGCCUGGGAAGUCGAGGCUGCAGUGAACGGUGAUUGUACCACUGCACUCCAGCCUGGGCAACAGAAAAAGACCCUGUCUCAAAAAAAAAAAAAAAAAAAAAAAGAGAGUGCCAACCCUGGAGUGCGAGUGGUCGGGGCAAAUCCCAUCUUCUCCCAACAACCAGUAAGCCGUGGGGCAAACUUCUUAACCUCUCCAAGCCUCAGUUUCCUCAACCAUGAAACGGGGAUGACGGUAGUAUUAUUUUCAUACAGACUUUGUGAAGAUCAAAAGAUAAUGAUCCAUGGCAAAGAGUUCUCUCAGCACAGUGCCUGGAGCACCGUGCAGUGCGUAAUCAGCAUGUGCUGCUGCUAUUAUGAUUGCCACAGAGCUGCUACAACCAGGGUAAACCAGUUUUUCUUACAAGAAAAAUGGAAUAAAAAAGUUGUUGGUGCUUUUCUAUGUUUGGGAAAGUAUAUCUGUUUUCUCUGGGGCUGAAUGAAUAUAUGCAUCGUUUUGAAUUUCCCACAAUAAAAAAAGCAUCAUUUUGCUUUUGUCUUUGGUGGAUCAUGCUUCCUUCCAACGUCAACUCACUCUUCCCUCUAUUGGUGAGAAAGUCUCAGUCUUAGUUUCACAACUAAAACACUCUCCGCGCUAACAGGCUCAGACAUAGGAUGGAAAAAAUGAACUUACAUUUCAUUGCUUUUUUUUUUUUCUUUGGACAGGGUCAUGCUCUGUCACCCAGGCUGGAGUGCAGUGGCACCAUCAUAGCUCACCGCAGCCUCAAACUUCUGGGCUCAAGCAAUCCUCCUGUGUCGGCUCUCAGAGUAGCUGGGACCACACAGGUGGGUGCCAUCAUGCCUGAUUCUUUUUUUCUUUUUUUUUGAGACAGAGUCUCGCUCUUUCGCUCAGGCUGGAGUGCAGUGGCAUGAUCUCAGCUCACCACAACCUCCGCCUCCUGGGUUCAAGUGAUUCUCCUGCCUCAGCCUCCUGAGUAGCUGGGAUUACAGGCGCGUGCCACCAUGACUGGCUGAUUUUUGUAUUUUUAGUAGAGAUGGGGUUUCACCGUGUUGGUUAGGCUGGUCUUGAACUCCUGGCCUUGUGAUCCACUCACCUUGGCCUCCCAAAGUGCUGGGAUUACAGUCGUGAGCCACUGCAUCUGGCCUUGACUAAUUCUUUUAAUUUUUAGUAGAGAUAAGGUCUCACUAUGUUGCCCAGGCUGGUCUUAAACUCCUGGGCUCAAGCAGUCCUCCUGCACUGGCCUCCCAAAGUGCUAGGAUUAUAGGCAUGAGCCACCACACCUAGCCUACAUCUCAUUACUUUUGUAUUCCUUAGGAAGUCAACUGUAUUUGGAUUAUAGCUGAGAUUAGGAAUUCUCAAUCUGUAAGCAUUCAGGGGCCAACAUGCUUUUCUCACCAUCUGUCAAAUGGGCACCAUUAGCUUCAAUCAUUCAUAGGAGUGGGGAACUGCAGGCUUCAGGUAUGAUUUAUUUGGCUGUCAGUUGAUAGUCCUCUGACCACUGGUCCAACGGUUUCAAGACAAACCUCCCCUCUCUCCUUCCCCAUGUGGAUUUCUGUGGCUAUCUCACUGAGAGACCUGAUCCUGAAGAGUUUUACAUUCUUGGCUAUUUUAAGCCUCACUAACUGUUCAAAUGAGGUCGCCACAUGGCAUGCAGCUGUGGGAAGCAGCUGCUGUGGUUUGGUUUCUAGUCAGUAUGUCUUGACAUUUCUUGUCAAGUGAUUUCUAAAAUUCCUUGGGUUUUUUUUUGUUUUUUUUCAGGUAACCAAGAACUUCUUUUUUCUUGGGGAAUAAGGUGUGACGUGUGCAUCUGAUAACCUGCUCCUCGCUGGGGACGGUUCCAGAACCCUGCCAGACUUGAUCUUAGCCAAAAGGCCGAGAAGCGAUCAGAAACCUGCUAGAAAGGAACAUUUAUUUCACCUUUCAGGACCCAACUCUCCCUGCCCCAGAAAUAUCAGUCCUGGGGCUGAGAGACACUGCCGCGGCUCUCCCUGCAGUUUCUAAUUGGAGCCCAUCCUGGAGUCUCAGAUGCCACAGAAGAAAGUAGAGAGAAUUGGGCAGCUUGCUGGGCUCCCUGGAGCUACCUUCAGUGACAAUAGCUAACAUGGAGGAGAGGCAGGGUCACUCAGCCUGAGGAGAAAUUGGACCGCCCAACUCCUCACCUACCCGCCCUUCUCUCUAGGUCAUUCAGCUAUUUGUCUCCUAGAUCACCCUCAUACACCUGUUUGCCACAAUGGUUUUGCCUUUAGGCUUUUGCACAUGCUAUUCCCUGCCUGGAAGACUCUUGAUCUCUUUUCCAGAUCAACUUCUAUUUAUCAUUUUUUCCUCAAUAUUGGCAUCACUUUUAGGAGCCUUUCCAAUCUUCCAAGAAAGGGUUAACUGCCCCUUUGAUGUAUAUCCCCUAUUAAUGUACUUAACACAUUGCAUUGUAAUCCCGUCUACUCAUCUGGUUCCUCCACCAGAUUGUAAACCCUGGGCAAGGUCUGGGUUCUGUUCACUGUUUUAUCCCUACUUCUGGCUCAGCAUAUAAUAGCUCCUCUGUAAAUAUCAGCUCUAUAUUGUUCCGAACUCAACAAGAACUCCCUCUCUUCCUUUCCCUCCAAUAUAUUUCUUAGAUUACAUCAAAUUAUUUGCCCUUCAAUAGCCUCUAAGUCUUCUAUUUUAAUGUAUCAAAUAUCUAUUCAAAUAAAGUCCUUUGUCAGUUAUGAGUUUGAAAAAA